rnacentral:tRNA from 1 species
AUAAUGAUAAAUACCCGAUUUCGACUCGGACUAAUCAAUUAAAUUUUGAAUCAUUAUA